rnacentral:rRNA from 1 species
UUUCCGUAGGUGAACCUGCGGAAGGAUCAUUGUCGAAACCUGCCACAGCAGAACGACCAGAGAACACGUACCCCCGGCGCGGAACGCGCCAAGGAAUACCGCAUCGAGACGGCCCGCCGCCCUUGCACCGUUAUCGCGGAUUGCUUGGGCGGCGUCGGCGUCUUACUUAACAAAAUACGACUCUCGGCAACGGAUAUCUCGGCUCUCGCAUCGAUGAAGAACGUAGCGAAAUGCGAUACUUGGUGUGAAUUGCAGAAUCCCGUGAACCAUCGAGUCUUUGAACGCAAGUUGCGCCCGAAGCCGUUAGGCCGAGGGCACGUCUGCCUGGGCGUCACGCAUCGCGUCGCCCCCUUUCUUGGUCGAGCGGCCGAGCUUGGGGAGCGGAUGGUGGCCUCCCGUGCCCCCUAACUCGGGGUGCGGCUGGCUCAAAUGCGAGUCCCCGGCGGCGGAUGUCACGGCGAGUGGUGGUCGUACCCAGUGUGCAUAUCUCCGCGUCGUGGCCCCGUCGUUCGUGGGCAAAAGACCCUUCGAACGAGCUGCAGCAGUGUGGCUCUCCGACCGCGACCCCAGGUCAGGCGGGAUUACCCGCUGAGUUUAA